CCUCCGAACAUUGUUAUGAGACUAGCAUCAUUAUCAUCACAUAACUCUAUAGGACUCCCAAAUCAUGAAUAAACUUUCUGGAAGCAAUACUAUUUGAUCAUGAGUCAACAUGGAAACUUCUAGCUACUAAGAGUGGAUUCGUUAUGGAGUAGUGUUACGUUUAAGUGGGGAACGUGUACGCAUCAAAGAAUUGUACAAAAGGGACCAUAAAUUUUACUGCUCCUAUAAACUUUGUCCUAUUGGAAACGUGGAUUACACUUCUCUUUGGAGAACCAUGAGUAGUGCUUUAAACAUUAUUAACCCUGGGUUUAGUCAGUGCAUUUCUCCCUCUCCUCUACCACUCUUUGUUCCAUGGUCUCAGAAAUUUUGCCUCGCUACUCCUCCCCUGUUUAAGUUCAUGAUGAAAGACCAUUUUGUAGUGAAAAAUUAACGAGAAGGCGUAUAUUGAUACGCUCAAUGGACAUGUCUUUCUAGGUAAUUUGAAGGAGGCAUUUAUUUUGCAUUAUUGAUUCCUAAUAACAAGCUUUAGCUUCUUGAUUUUUCGCAUGAUUCAUUAUUGGUGGACAAUAACGGCAACUAUAUGUCCUUUUAAUUGUAGUUAAAAAGAACUACAAAUUAAGAUUUUAACUCCAUGUCUUUGAUUAAGAGAUGUGCGCAAUGGAUGAGAAAAGAGUUAAAAGAGACAAAACAGAAGAAAAACUUAUGGAAGUGGUCCAUGUUCUUUUAUCCAUCAAUUGCUUGAUUUGAUUAAGUCGUAGUGUACUUUUUGUUGUUUUUGAAUGGGUCAUAUCUCUUUUCCAGUGUUAAUUAAUGGGUAAACAUCAAAAUUCUAGAAUUGAUAUUUUAUAGACUUGCAUGGAGAAAAAAGUGUGAAAUCGAGGGGAAGUCCAAAGCACCAGUACAAACACCGGUAUAUGCAUUCAAAUUUGAUUCCUUGAAAACUUAAUGUUCAUGGAAUGGUACAUUCAUAUUAUUUUAUAGACAUGUUGAUAUAAUGUUAAAAAUAAGAUAUUUAUGUAAACCAUGAUAUUUUAAUACUGUGCUCACAGGAUUUAUGAAGGCACAUUUUAAUUCACUAUACAAGAAGCUUCACUUCGACAUCAUCCCGAAGUUAAGGUUGAAAAAUCUGAAAGGUUAUUUUCUCCAUAUGAAGUCAAUAGAACCUCCUACAUAGAAAUAAUGCUCUGCUUUGACCAAUUUUUGUAGUCAAAAGCAUUUAAAAGUCAGUAAAUUGUUCAAUUUGUUUUCCUUUUCAUGUUCCUGUUAAGGUAUUGGCUUACCUAUUCGAAAAUGCUUGAUUAUUCCGUUUCUUUCUUGCUGGAAGCUUUUAAGGGGAGCUGCAUUUGGAGGAAAAGAUGCAGAAAGAAUGACUAAAAUGAAAUAUAAGUUCAAGUAAGGCAACAUUAAUGUGAAAAGAUCACUUUUAGUGUUCUUGUCGGUUGUUUAACCCAAUGCAUCUGUUCAAAGUUGACGGGAGAAGUAGUUUUGAUUCAAAAGAUACCCCUAUAUACAUUUCUGGAGCUAAAGCUAUGGACAACUUAAAGACUUCUCAUUAUAUUUCACUCCUACUUUGAGACAAAGAAAAAGGAAGUUUAUAUAGCACAGUCUUGCCCCCUUUACUAUUUUAGAAAGUCUUAAUGUUUUGCUUGUCUAUUUCCCCUUCUCAGGUGACAAUCCCAUCUUUGCUAUACUUCAAGACAAAGAGAUGCAGAGUUGAAUUACCCUGUGCUACAUUAUUUCAUCAUGGUAUGAUCUUGACCUUAUAUAUCCUGAAAGCUACUUUCAGUAUGUGCUUUUAUCUCAUGUUUUCAGUGAAUAUAGUGAUAUGAAGUUAAUUGAUACUUCUCCAAGAUAGAUGACGAAUAUUUUAUUUGUUUUUUGCUUUUCCUGAACAAUACUAAUGUAUAGUGAAGAAGCAAUCAACAGAGGUGUGAAAAAGAAAUCUGCAUGGAAAAGUGAAAGCUACAUAAUUGCUCAAAGUUCAAAGAUCAAGAACUUUUUUUUUGGCAGCCACUAUUUUCUUUUGGAGCUCUCUUUACUUUGAUCUUUCUUAGCAUUUUUAAUACUGUAAUUCUCAACUGCAAGCUGUGGACAUUUGCAAUUUUCCUCCAAAGCUCAGUGAUGGCGGGGGCAUUUUCUCUUGGUUAUUGCUCAAAAUUACAACUGUUAAUGAUCGUUAUGUUUUAUGAGUUGUUGAAGCAUUUAGAUUUAUUUUGCUGUGUCAAAUGAAGAUACCAAUGGAUGAACCGUAAUUUUUUGGUGAUAUUUAUGCAUUAUAAAUUUGAUGAUGAA